GCUGGGGAUACAGCUCAGUUGGUAGAGUGCUUGCCUCACAUGCACAAGGCCCUGAGUUCAAACCCCAGCACCACAGAA
rnacentral:tRNA from 1 species